rnacentral:rRNA from 1 species
AUGGCCCUCUCCGCGGUCGGCGACUGCGUGGUGCCGUCGCUGGCCCCGCCGUCCCCUCCCCGACGCCUCGUCAAGGCCGACCCGCAGCCGCAGCCGCAGGCGGGCUCCAUCGCGAGCUUCUGCUGGACGGGAGUGGUGCGCGAGUGGGUGUCCGCGCCACUGGUUUGGAUGGAGGUGACCCCGGCGCAGGAAGCGGCCUACCUCGAGCACUGGCGCCAGCGACGGCUGGCCGAGGAGCGGCCUCAAGGCGAGUACGAGGAGAUGCUCGAGGGUGACCUCGAGGAGGAGGCGCGCGAGGCUGUGGAGGAGGCGCGCCAGACCGCGGUUACACAGGCGGCGACACAGCCCCCCGCGCCGGCACUACCCCCGCCGGAAUAG